ACUGGGGAGUACGUUCGCAAGAAUGAAACUCAAAGGAUUGACGGGGACCCGCACAGCGGUGGAGCAUGUGGUUUAAUUCGAAGCAACGCGAAGAACCUUACCUGGUCUUGACAUCCCGGUGGCAAGUGAGCAAUGUCACUGUUCCUUCGGGACACCGGAGACAGGUGGUGCAUGGUUGUCGUCAGCUCGUGUCGUGAGAUGUUGGGUUAAGUCCCGCAACGAGCGCAAACCCCUAUUUCCAGUAGCCAGCAUUCAGGAUGGGCACUCUGGAGAGGCUGCCCGGGAUAACCGGGAGGAAGGCGGGGAUGACGUCAAAUCAUCAUGCCCCUUAUGACCAGGGCUACACACGUGCUACAAUGGCGUAAACAAAGGGAGGCAAAGCGGUGACGCCAGGCAAAUCCCAAAAAUAACGUCCCAGUUCGGAUUGCAGCCUGCAACUCGGCUGCAUGAAGCUGGAAUCGCUAGUAAUCGCGGAUCAGAAUGCCGCGGUGAAUACGUUCCCGGGUCUUGUACUCACCGCCCGUC
rnacentral:rRNA from 1 species